AUCAAAAGCCCAAGAAACAAAGAGAGGACGUGUGUGGCUUGUGUCGAUGGCCUUCAUCAUUCCACACCAUGUGAUGCUAGGAGCGCCUCCCUCUCCUCCUCAUCCCCCAACUUCCAAGAAGCAAUCAUGCUGCCUGGAGCACCUUGGGCCCUUCGCCAUCAUCACCACCACCUCCUCCUCUUUCCUCCGGCACCUACUUCCAAGAAGGAGAGGUCGGGGGAGCUAUAG
rnacentral:rRNA from 1 species